UUCAUCUAUAUCAUUUAUGAAUUCAAUGAACACACAUUAUUUAAACGUUCUAUGUGCAACUAUUUGUCGGGGCGCCCCUGUUUGUGACCCCCGCGCGCGCGCCGAAUGUAAACAGUAACGAACGGCAUUGUAGAAAAGAGAGAGCCGUAAUGCAGAAGAGAAGUUGUGUAUUCUUUCGGUGUACACAUGCAUUUUCAAUUUGCUGUGAAACAUAUGAACAUGCACAGGGAACAAUACUACAUAUUUGUUUAAGGAGGAUAUUUUUCUCGUGUGAAUCGUUUACGAGGAAAUUCUGACAGCCACACUUCUGUCGACGAUCAGCCGUUGAUAAGCUUCGAGUAAUAAAGGAGAAAAGAUGGACAUUAAAGUGUGUGAUUUAUGUGGAUGUUACUGAAGAAGCUCAAAACAGACUCUUGUUACCACAUGGCUUUUACCGGUACCUGUUGAUUCUUGUGGGUCAGCUCCUGAGAUUAACCUGUCACCUCUAUCCACAUGCAUAUUCCUUGUGUUCUACAGACUAUUUACUGGUAAUUCAAAUUAAAUCCGAUAAUGCAUGAACAAUAAUGGAACUUGAAGAAAGCAUCAUGCCAUGUUGUGGUUUGUGUUUGAUAAGAAAUUAUGAAAACAAAAUUAAGGCUGUUUAAAGAAAUUCAUAAUUGCUGUGAAAAUUUGUUUUUCAAUAAAAGUAUACAAUUA